GACGAACGCUGGCGGCGUGCCUAAUACUUGCCAGUCAAGCGAAGUUUUUCUGGCGCUUGCUCUACAAAAACUUAACGGCGAACGGGUGAGUAACACGUAUAGAACCUGCCUCAUAGACUGGGACAACUAUUGGAAACGAUAGCUAAUACCGGAUAACAGUAUUUCUCGCAUGAGAGAUAUUUAAAAGUUGGUUAUGCUAACACUAUGAGAUGGCUUUGCGGUGCAUUAGCUAGUUGGUGGGGUAAAGGCCCACCAAGGCGACAAUGCAUAACCGACCUGAGAGGGUGAUCGGACUACACUGGGACUGACACACGGCCCAGACUCCUACGGGAGGCAGCAGUAGGGAAUCUUCCGCAAUGGGCGAAAGCCUGACUGAUCAACGCCGCGUGAGUGAAGAAGGAUUUCGGUUCGUAAAGCUCUGUUGUUAGGGAAGAAUGGAUAUGUACUAACUAUACAUGUAAGAGACGGUACCUAACCAGAAAGCCACGGCUAACUACGUGCCAGCAGCCGCGGUAAUACAUAGGUGGCAAGCGUUGUCCGGAAUUAUUGGGCGUAAAGCGCGCGCACGUGGUUUAAUAAGUCUGAUGUGAAAGCCCACGGCUCAACCGUGGAGGGUCAUUGGAAACUGUUAAACUUGAGUGCAGGAGAGAAAAGUGGAAUUCCUAGUGUAGCGGUGAAAUGCGUAGAGAUUAGGAGGAACACCAGUGGCGAAGGCGGCUUUUUGGCCUGUAACUGACACUGAGGCGCGAAAGCGUGGGGAGCAAACAGGAUUAGAUACCCUGGUAGUCCACGCCGUAAACGAUGAGUGCUAAGUGUUGGUCCCAUAAGAGAUCAGUGCUGCAGCUAACGCAUUAAGCACUCCGCCUGGGGAGUACGACCGCAAGGUUGAAACUCAAAGGAAUUGACGGGGACCCGCACAAGCGGUGGAGCAUGUGGUUUAAUUCGAAGCAACGCGAAGAACCUUACCAAGUCUUGACAUACUGUGAGGACACAAGAGAUUGUGUUGUUCUGACCUUUGGUUAGACACAGAUACAGGUGGUGCAUGGUUGUCGUCAGCUCGUGUCGUGAGAUGUUGGGUUAAGUCCCGCAACGAGCGCAACCCUUAUAUCUAGUUGCCAGCAGUAAGAUGGGGACUCUAGAUAGACUGCCAGUGAUAAACUGGAGGGAGGUGGGGAUGACGUCAAAUCAUCAUGCCCCUUAUGACUUGGGCUACACACGUGCUACAAUGGAUAGGAACAAAGAGAAGCGAGCUCGCGAGAGUCAGCCAACCUCAUAAAACUAUUCUCAGUUCGGAUUGUAGUCUGCAACUCGACUACAUGAAGCUGGAAUCGCUAGUAAUCGCGAAUCAGAAUGUCGCGGUGAAUACGUUCCCGGGUCU
rnacentral:rRNA from 1 species